rnacentral:misc_RNA from 1 species
GAACGCAUAUUGCGCUCUCUGGUAUUCCGGAGAGCAUGCUUGUUUGAGUAUCAGUAAACACCUCAACUCCCCUUUCUUUUUUUGAAAUGGGAGCUGGACUUGAGUGAUCCCAACGCUUUUCUCACCGAAAAGUGGCGGGUUACUUGAAAUGCAGGGGCGGCUGGACAUUCUCCUGAGCUAAAAGCAUAUUUAUUUAGUUCCGUCAAACGGAUUAUUACUUUUGCUGCAGCUAACAUAAAGGGAGUUUGACCGUAUUGGCUGACUGAUGCAGGAUUUCACAAGGGUCGGCAACGAUUCUUGUAAAACUCGAUCUCAAAUCAAGUAAGACUACCCGCUGAACUUAAG